GAACGCGAAGAACCUUACCUGGGCUUGAACUAAGAGUGACUUAUCUAGAGAUAGAUAUUUCUUCGGACACUCUUGGAGGUGCUGCAUGGUUGUCGUCAGCUCGUGCCGUGAGGUGUCGGCUUAAGUGCCAUAACGAGCGCAACCCUUUUCCUUGGUUGCCAUCAGGUAAUGCUGGGCACUCCAGGGAUACUGCCAUCGUAAGAUGUGAGGAAGGUGGGGAUGACGUCAAAUCAGCACGGCCCUUACGUCCGGGGCUACACACGUGUUACAAUGGGGGGUACAGAAGGUCGCUACCUGGUGACAGGAUGCUAAUCUCAAAAACCUCUCUCAGUUCGGAUUGGAGUCUGCAACCCGACUCCAUGAAGCUGGAUUCGCUAGUAAUCGCGCAUCAGCCAUGGCGCGGUGAAUACGUUCCCGGGUCUUGUACACACC
rnacentral:rRNA from 1 species